GUUCAGGCUUCAUCAGCCUUGGAGAAGCAUCAGCUGAGAGGAGCUAUCACAUGGGAGCCUGGAGCUGCUCAGCAAAGAUGACUUUGGAAACUGGAAUCCAGAAAAGCUGCAGAAUCAGUAAUGGCCAGACCUGGAAUUAGAAGCUAAAGAGACCAGAAAUCAGGAGACCAUGAUGCUGUCCUAGAGCCUGGGAGGACUCUGAAGAAAGGAGACAGAGGAUUUAGAAUUGCCCUGGAAAGGAAAGAAGGGCAUGGAGAACUAGAAAAGUGCAAAAGAGGUACCAGAGGCUGCUCAAAAGGUGGAGUGCUACUGAGUGUGUGAGGAUCCAUUCCUUACACAUCACCUUCUUCUUCUUCCCAUCACUGGGGAUGACUCUGGAACUACCUCCUGGUAGAAACUGGACAUGAGCUCCUGAGCCCAGAGCUGCCUGGCCUGGCACUCUGUCCAUAGAGGAGCCCAGCCUUGAAGGCUGGGGAUUAGAGCCUGCUCAAGAGGCUCCAACAGGAGGCCCCCAACAAAACUGGGAAGCCUGGGCCUGGGCUUACCAUCCCAGGGUGGCGGACUAGGAUGGGGGAUGGGCUUGUGAUAGGAGGUGCCCUGGGUGUCCUCUUUCGGCCCCAUGGAGUCCUCACCCAUCCCCCAAUCAUCAGGGAACUCUUCCACUUUGGGAAGGGCCCUUCAAACUCCAGGUCCCUCUACUGCCAGCGGAGUCCCAGAAUUGGGGCUGCAGGACGUGGCUUCAGAAUCCGUGGCCCUCUUCUUCAUGCUCCUGCUGGACCUCACUGCUGUGGCUGGCAAUGCUGCUGUGAUGGCUGUUAUUGCCAAGACACCUGCCCUCCGAAAAUUUGUUUUUGUCUUCCACCUCUGCCUGGUGGACCUGCUGGCUGCCCUGACACUCAUGCCCCUGGCCAUGAUCUCCAGCUCUGCUCUCUUUGACCAUGCCCUCUUUGGAGAAGUGGCCUGCCGCCUUUACCUGUUCCUGAGUGUAUGCUUUGUCAGCCUGGCCAUCCUCUCAGUGUCUGCCAUUAAUGUGGAGCGCUACUAUUAUGUGGUCCACCCCAUGCGCUAUGAGGUGCGCAUGACACUGGGGCUGGUGGCUUCUGUGCUGGUAGGUGUGUGGGUGAAGGCCCUGGCCAUGGCUUCUGUGCCAGUGUUGGGAAGGGUCUCCUGGGAGGAAGGAGCUCCCAGUGUCCUGCCAGGCUGUUCACUCCAAUGGAGCCACAGUGCCUACUGCCAGCUUUUUGUGGUGGUCUUUGCUGUCCUUUAUUUCUUGCUGCCCUUGAUCCUCAUCUUUGUGGUCUACUGCAGCAUGUUCCGAGUGGCCCGUGUGGCUGCCAUGCAACAUGGGCCACUGCCCACAUGGAUGGAGACACCCCGGCAACGCUCUGAGUCUCUCAGUAGCCGUUCCACCAUGGUUACCAGCUCUGGAGCCCACCAAACCACUCCACAUCGGACGUUUGGGGGUGGGAAGGCAGCAGUGGUCCUCCUGGCUGUAGGGGGACAGUUCCUCCUCUGUUGGUUGCCCUACUUCUCUUUCCAUCUCUAUGUUGCCAUGAGUGCUCAGCCCAUUUCCACAGGACAGGUGGAGAGUGUGGUGACCUGGAUUGGCUACUUUUGUUUCACUUCCAACCCUUUCUUCUAUGGUUGUCUCAACCGGCAGAUCCGGGGUGAGCUUAGCAAGCAGUUUGUCUGCUUCUUCAAGCCAGCUCCAGAGGAGGAGCUGAGGCUGCCUAGUCGGGAGGGCUCCAUUGAGGAGAAUUUCCUGCAGUUCCUUCAGGGGACUGGCUGUCCCUCUGAGAACUGGGUUUCCAGGCCCCUACCCAGCCCCAAGCAGGAACCACCACCUGCUGUUGACUUUCGAAUCCCAGGCCAGAUCGCUGAGGAGACCUCAGAAUUCCUGGAGCAACAACUCACCAGCGACUUUAUCAUGUCGGACAGCUACCUCCGUCCUGCCCCCUCAUCAAGGCUGGAGUCAUGAUGGGUCCCUGGACACUUGGAGGGAAAUAGGGCUUGGAGUUGGUAUAUGAUCCCAAGGACUGCCUUGUGGAACCACCUUUUUCCAACUGGCUGGGGUUGGGGCUGGGGUCUCUGCAUAUAGCUUUUGCUUGGUGUUUCCUGGGUCAGGACCAGAGCCAACAAGAUGGACAUGUGGCAAAAGCCUUGGACUUGGCUAUGAUAUUUGACUAUUGGGGGAGGGAGCCUGGGUAUGGUGAGAUGGUGACAAGAGAAAAGGGUCACAAAGGACUGACCUCCCUGAUCUCUCUCCUCAUGGCAGUGACCCACCUCCAGCCCCCUGGACAAUCGGGUACAAGAGACUAAGGUUGGGCAUGGGAAAGGUGGGGUUUCCAUAGUCUAUUAAAUGCCUCCCUAUUGGUCAUCACUCUCAAAAUUAGCUUCAGUGACAAAGACUUAAAUCUGUCUCCUAUCUGUGGUACUGGGUUGGAGAGAGAGCAGAGAGUUGGGCUUGGCUGUUUACAGAUUUAAGACUAGAAACCAUGUUGAUUAGUAUUGGCAAUGGUAUUUUAAAUAGAGAAGGAUUAGUUGCAAAGUAAUGGACAGGACACCUAUCUGGGACCACUUGCCCAUUUCACUUCCCUCAAUUGGACACUAAAUAGUCAAAGUAGAGCCAGAGGGUGGUGUGCUCUAUAUUUGAACAAAUUUUUGGUUCAUUGAACACUAAAGGGGGAAAACGGGUUGGGGGUGUGGAAGUUUCCCCCUUUGAACA